AAAUGAAUAGACGGGGGCCCGCACAAGCGGAGGAACAUGUGGUUUAAUUCGAUGAUACGCGAGGAACCUUACCCGGGAUUGAACGUAAGCGGAAUAUAGUUGAGAGAUUAUAGCCGGCAACGGUCGCUUACGAGGUGCUGCAUGGUUGUCGUCAGCUCGUGCCGUGAGGUGUCGGCUUAAGUGCCAUAACGAGCGCAACCCUGAUUGUUAGUUGCUAGCAGGUCAAGCUGAGGACUCUAACAAGACUGCCGGCGUAAGCUGUGAGGAAGGUUGGGAUGACGUCAAAUCAGCACGGCCCUUACAUCCGGGGCUACACACGUGUUACAAUGGGUGGGACAAAGGGCAGCUACUUAGCGAUAAGAUGCUAAUCUCCAAACCCACUCCCAGUUCGGAUCGAAGUCUGCAACCCGACUUCGUGAAGCUGGAUUCGCUAGUAAUCGCGCAUCAGCCAUGGCGCGGUGAAUACGUUCCCGGGCCUUGUACACACCGCCCGU
rnacentral:rRNA from 1 species